UACGGAGGGUGCGAGCGUUGUUCGGAAUCACUGGGCGUAAAGCGCGUGUAGGCGGCCCAUUAAGUCUGAUGUGAAAGCCCGGGGCUCACCCCCGGAAGUGCAUUGGAAACUGAUGGGCUCGAGUCCCGGAGAGGAGAGUGGAAUUCCUGGUGUAGCGGUGAAAUGCGUAGAUAUCAGGAGGAACACCGGUGGCGAAGGCGGGUCUCUGGGCAUUAACUGACGCUGAGGAGCGAAAGCAUGGGGAGCGAACAGG
rnacentral:rRNA from 1 species